rnacentral:rRNA from 1 species
AGCGAACGCUGGCGGCAGGCUUAACACAUGCAAGUCGAGCGGGUGUAGCAAUACAUCAGCGGCAGACGGGUGAGUAACGCGUGGGAACGUACCUUUUGGUUCGGAACAACCCAGGGAAACUUGGGCUAAUACCGGAUAAGCCCUUACGGGGAAAGAUUUAUCGCCGAAAGAUCGGCCCGCGUCUGAUUAGCUAGUUGGUGAGGUAAUGGCUCACCAAGGCGACGAUCAGUAGCUGGUCUGAGAGGAUGAUCAGCCACAUUGGGACUGAGACACGGCCCAAACUCCUACGGGAGGCAGCAGUGGGGAAUAUUGGACAAUGGGGGCAACCCUGAUCCAGCCAUGCCGCGUGAGUGAUGAAGGCCCUAGGGUUGUAAAGCUCUUUUGUGCGGGAAGAUAAUGACGGUACCGCAAGAAUAAGCCCCGGCUAACUACGUGCCAGCCGCCGCCGUAACAC